CAGGCAUCCAUCUGCUGCCCCGUCACUCCUGAUACCGCUGUGCUGGUAAGGUGCAGGUGAUGGCGGGGCUGCCGGUGUGCCAUGCCUG
ensembl:miRNA